UGUUGUAUGUGUCAAACUGCUUUGCUUUAUCUUGGCCAGGUCACAAUUGUAAAUGAGAACUUGUUCUCAACUUGCCAACCUGGUUAAAUAAAGGUAAAAUAAAAAAAUCUACACAUGUAUCAAUCUGAUUGAUGGAUUGUGUUGUGCAGUAAGCAGGCUCAGGUGUAUAACUGUGGCUCCUUCCACCUUCAAAGAAUGGGCAAAAGAGCCAACCAUGGAGAAUAGCAAGACACUUCACUAUUUCUAUAACUAUGCUAUAUUGUUUGUCCUCGUGUUCAUUCAUGGUUUUCAGCACAAAGUACUCUGCAGCCACUUAGUGUGGACACCAGGUGAGGCCACACACACAGAUUCCUGUUGAACACUGUCCCUUUAACUAACUUAAUUUCUCAAUAAGUCUCUCUCCUUCACUUCCUCCCUCUUCUCCCUAAAUCCUCUAGGUUAUAUCAGCUGGGUCGGUAAACCCCUCACGCAUCUGAACUGGCUACAUAGAGGGCACAGCAUGAUAAGAGGAGAGGCAACUUGAUGUUUUGAUGUGAGAGGAUGCCAACCCCCAGUCCCACCAUCGCCACCUCACCCGCUUUUAAGAUGACCUUCGGGCCGACUAGACACAUGUAAUUGUGAUGAACUGAGAGAAUAUUUGGGUUGCACUGUGAUUCAUUAAUCAUAGGAGCAGGGAAGGCAGCAUAUGUUCUUACCUCUUUCCCUUUCUGUCUUUUACACCUCUUCCUCUGUUUUUAUAAUGCAUAACAGAUGUGCAUUGAAGUACAGUUUGAACUUGUAUUGAUAACCCUUGGAUAAUGAACUGCUUUCAAUAAAGCGUUUCACAUUA